rnacentral:lncRNA from 1 species
GUGUAAUAUUAUGACUGUCGUAAUUAUUUCUAAAAGUAGUACUCUCUCAUAUCGGCAUGAAAUUUAAGAUGUUUCCCUUUCUCUGAAAAUUUCAGGCAGGGAUUAGGCAUUCAAGCGAGUCCGACUCGGAUAGUGAUAUGGACGAUUCGGAUGAAUACUCUGAUCAGCCAUUCAUGCGAGGUGAUUCGGUGGACACGGUGGUGGGUCCAUCGGAGGAGGGUGUCUGGGUGGACGAGAGCGGGCGGUGCGGGAGCAAGACGGGGCUGCGGGGCUACCAGUGCAACCGGCGCUCGUGGGAGGACCACUCGGAGGAGGAGAGCCUGGAGCUGCAGGACCUGCCGCGCUCCAUCACGCCGCAGCCCAUGUGGACGACCGUGGAGAUCGGCUCCGAGUCCUCCGACAGCCCCGGCUCCCUCGACUCGGAGCAUUCCGUCUCCGGCUCCACCUCCGAGCAGGACCUCCGCUUCCGCAAACACGACUGCAACUGGGAGAUCCAGAUGCUCGCCCGGGAGCUCGACCGGCGGAAAACCGACCGCACCCAGGAGCGCAGGGACCGAGACCGCGAUCGCAAACAGAGGUAUCGGAAGCACAAACCACGGAGCACGGACAGCAACCAGUUAUCAGAGCUGCUGAGUCCGGAAUCGGGCGGCUCGCAAGAGCUCUUCGUCCUGGACCCCUCGUCGCUGGCUGCCUACAACCUGAACCCGAAACUGCGGACCCGGACGGAGACUGUCUCCCGCUCCUCCUCGAACCUGACGCUGCCGACCGUCGCGAACCCCAUCGCACCUCCCGAGGGACUCUACCAGAAGUCCCUCUCCAUCGGGAGCCUCCACUCGUCCAUCUCGAGUUCGGUCCGGCGCGGGUUCCACCUCCUCCGCAACAGCUCCACGACGCAGCCUCCGGAGGCGGCACCUUCCAGCGGCGCGCCCUACUCCCCGGACAUCGUGCCUACCAUAUCCCAGGCCUGCCUCCCGCCCCCGCCUCCACCUAAUAUUUGA